UUUCUUUCCUUUCAUUUACGACAUUAUUCGUUAUCUUGGCUAUUGCCAUUUCUUAUCUUUAUAUCUCUUCAAGAUUCUUCUUUGAAUCUUCUUGUUUAUAAAAUAAUUCUUCCUUUAAACAUUCUAACUUCAUUUACAUCGCCCAAAAUUUCAUUCGAGUUCUACACUUUCAUCAUACGUGACCAUUUUCUAGACUUGGUACACCUCGAUUCUCUACCAGUUUUAAUAUGGUACAUUGAGUGGUUUCCCACAAACAACCAACAAACUAGGUUCCGAGUUGCUAGUUUGUAUAUACCUCUGCUCUAUGAAGGAAUCGUUUAGCCCAUAUGCCAUACAUCAACCAUUAAAGAGUACAAUUGUACCACACUUAGAUAUAACUCUCUAUUCUUAACUUCUUUAUCAUUCUCUUUUUAAAGACAUUGUCUAUUUAUUAUCACCUUACAUCCUUAUUAUUGGAGUUGGGUAACCCCACUUUCAUAUUCCUUAUAACUCUACGAGAUUCUUCUCUGAAUCCUCUCACGCAAGUUUUAAUCCCUUCUUUAUGUAUUUCUUAAAUUACUUCUUAUUAUUCAAACUUUAUUUGAGCUUAUUCGUUCAUUAUCUUCACAUCUCUUCUCUAAGGUUAUAGCCUAAAGUACUCUUACCUAAGUUUCUAACCUAUCGACUUUGAUACCAACUGUAACGACCCCAAAAUUCAUACAUUUUAAAUCUCGACUUCGAUCGUUAACCGUACAUUUAACCUCUAAUUUUACAUCAUUAUUUGAUAUUAAAAUAACUAAAAACGCAAAAUAUUUAAAACUUUUAUACAUUUCCUUCUUUAUUUCCCUAAAUCGCAACCUUUACAUUACAUCUAUUCGAUUCAAAUUAUAUCAUGAAUCGUUACAACAAAAUGACUAUACAAAGUCUUACAUCAUAAGUAGAUAUCCAUAUACACCGGAUAACUCAACUUACAAUUCAACAACAUAUUACAUUCAAAAUAU
rnacentral:lncRNA from 1 species